UCCCAGGUGGCUCAAUAGUAAAGAAUCUGCCUGCCAAGCAGGAGACACAGGUUCAAUCCUUGAGUUGGGAA
rnacentral:tRNA from 1 species